rnacentral:rRNA from 1 species
UCGGAGUGCUUGCACUCUGUGAAACAAGAUACAGGCUAGCGGCGGACGGGUGAGUAACACGUGGGUAACCUGCCCAAGAGAUCGGGAUAACACCUGGAAACAGAUGCUAAUACCGGAUAACAACAGAUGAUGCCUAUCAACUGUUUAAAAGAUGGUUCUGCUAUCACUCUUGGAUGGACCUGCGGUGCAUUAGCUAGUUGGUAGGGUAACGGCCUACCAAGGCGAUGAUGCAUAGCCGAGUUGAGAGACUGAUCGGCCACAUUGGGACUGAGACACGGCCCAAACUCCUACGGGAGGCAGCAGUAGGGAAUCUUCCACAAUGGACGCAAGUCUGAUGGAGCAACGCCGCGUGAGUGAAGAAGGGCUUCGGCUCGUAAAGCUCUGUUGUUGGUGAAGAAGGACAGGGGUAGUAACUGACCUUUGUUUGACGGUAAUCAAUUAGAAAGUCACGGCUAACUACGUGCCAGCAGCCGCGGUAAUACGUAGGUGGCAAGCGUUGUCCGGAUUUAUUGGGCGUAAAGCGAGUGCAGGCGGCUCGAUAAGUCUGAUGUGAAAGCCUUCGGCUCAACCGGAGAAUUGCAUCAGAAACUGUCGAGCUUGAGUACAGAAGAGGAGAGUGGAACUCCAUGUGUAGCGGUGAAAUGCGUAGAUAUAUGGAAGAACACCGGUGGCGAAGGCGGCUCUCUGGUCUGUUACUGACGCUGAGGCUCGAAAGCAUGGGUAGCGAACAGGAUUAGAUACCCUGGUAGUCCAUGCCGUANACGAUGAGUGCUAAGUGUUGGGAGGUUUCCGCCUCUCAGUGCUGCAGCUAACGCAUUAAGCACUCCG